AACGAGUUAUCUGAACCUUCGGGGAACGAUAACGGCGUCGAGCGGCGGACGGGUGAGUAAUGCCUAGGAAAUUGCCCUGAUGUGGGGGAUAACCAUUGGAAACGAUGGCUAAUACCGCAUGAUGCCUACGGGCCAAAGAGGGGGACCUUCGGGCCUCUCGCGUCAGGAUAUGCCUAGGUGGGAUUAGCUAGUUGGUGAGGUAAGGGCUCACCAAGGCGACGAUCCCUAGCUGGUCUGAGAGGAUGAUCAGCCACACUGGAACUGAGACACGGUCCAGACUCCUACGGGAGGCAGCAGUGGGGAAUAUUGCACAAUGGGCGCAAGCCUGAUGCAGCCAUGCCGCGUGUGUGAAGAAGGCCUUCGGGUUGUAAAGCACUUUCAGUCGUGAGGAAGGUAGUGUAGUUAAUAGCUGCAUUAUUUGACGUUAGCGACAGAAGAAGCACCGGCUAACUCCGUGCCAGCAGCCGCGGUAAUACGGAGGGUGCGAGCGUUAAUCGGAAUUACUGGGCGUAAAGCGCAUGCAGGUGGUUUGUUAAGUCAGAUGUGAAAGCCCGGGGCUCAACCUCGGAAUAGCAUUUGAAACUGGCAGACUAGAGUACUGUAGAGGGGGGGUAGAAUUUCAGGUGUAGCGGUGAAAUGCGUAGAGAUCUGAAGGAAUACCGGUGGCGAAGGCGGCCCCCUGGACAGAUACUGACACUCAGAUGCGAAAGCGUGGGGAGCAAACAGGAUUAGAUACCCUGGUAGUCCACGCCGUAAACGAUGUCUACUUGGAGGUUGUGGCCUUGAGCCGUGGCUUUCGGAGCUAACGCGUUAAGUAGACCGCCUGGGGAGUACGGUCGCAAGAUUAAAACUCAAAUGAAUUGACGGGGGCCCGCACAAGCGGUGGAGCAUGUGGUUUAAUUCGAUGCAACGCGAAGAACCUUACCUACUCUUGACAUCCAGAGAACUUUCCAGAGAUGGAUUGGUGCCUUCGGGAACUCUGAGACAGGUGCUGCAUGGCUGU
rnacentral:rRNA from 1 species